GUACACAAAAAUGCACAUAUUGUGAGCUCGAUGAGUAGGGCGGGACACGUGGUAUCCUGUCUGAAUAUGGGGGGACCAUCCUCCAAGGCUAAAUACUCCUGACUGACCGAUAGUGAACCAGUACCGUGAGGGAAAGGCGAAAAGAACCCCGGCGAGGGGAGUGAAAAAGAACCUGAAACCGUGUACGUACAAGCAGUGGGAGCCUCUUUAUGGGGUGACUGCGUACCUUUUGUAUAAUGGGUCAGCGACUUAUAUUCUGUAGCAAGGUUAACCGAAUAGGGGAGCCGAAGGGAAACCGAGUCUUAACUGGGCGUUAAGUUGCAGGGUAUAGACCCGAAACCCGGUGAUCUAGCCAUGGGCAGGUUGAAGGUUGGGUAACACUAACUGGAGGACCGAACCGACUAAUGUUGAAAAAUUAGCGGAUGACUUGUGGCUGGGGGUGAAAGGCCAAUCAAACCGGGAGAUAGCUGGUUCUCCCCGAAAGCUAUUUAGGUAGCGCCUCGUGAAUUCAUCUCCGGGGGUAGAGCACUGUUUCGGCAAGGGGGUCAUCCCGACUUACCAACCCGAUGCAAACUGCGAAUACCGGAGAAUGUUAUCACGGGAGACACACGGCGGGUGCUAACGUCCGUCGUGAAGAGGGAAACAACCCAGACCGCCAGCUAAGGUCCCAAAGUCAUGGUUAAGUGGGAAACGAUGUGGGAAGGCCCAGACAGCCAGGAUGUUGGCUUAGAAGCAGCCAUCAUUUAAAGAAAGCGUAAUAGCUCACUGGUCGAGUCGGCCUGCGCGGAAGAUGUAACGGGGCUAAACCAUGCACCGAAGCUGCGGCAGCGACACUAUGUGUUGUUGGGUAGGGGAGCGUUCUGUAAGCCUGUGAAGGUGGCCUGUGAGGGUUGCUGGAGGUAUCAGAAGUGCGAAUGCUGACAUAAGUAACGAUAAAGCGGGUGAAAAGCCCGCUCGCCGGAAGACCAAGGGUUCCUGUCCAACGUUAAUCGGGGCAGGGUGAGUCGACCCCUAAGGCGAGGCCGAAAGGCGUAGUCGAUGGGAAACAGGUUAAUAUUCCUGUACUUGGUGUUACUGCGAAGGGGGGACGGAGAAGGCUAUGUUGGCCGGGCGACGGUUGUCCCGGUUUAAGCGUGUAGGCUGGUUUUCCAGGCAAAUCCGGAAAACCAAGGCUGAGGCGUGAUGACGAGGCACUACGGUGCUGAAGCGACAAAUGCCCUGCUUCCAGGAAAAGCCUCUAAGCAUCAGGUAACAUCAAAUCGUAC
rnacentral:rRNA from 1 species